rnacentral:rRNA from 1 species
AUGGCGCUAAACUGCAUGUACAUCUUGUCGGAGGCGCUCCCCUUCAUCCAGCGUUUCAAGGGCAAGAUGGUGGUGGUGAAGUACGGCGGCGCGGCCAUGAAUUCGUCGGAGUUGCAGGCGUCGGUGAUCUGCGACCUGGUCACUAGUGCAGAACCGGCCUUUAUGGGUCCUCCUCUCCUAUGUUGGCCUGCACCCCGUGCUCGUGCACGACGAUGGUCCGGAGAUAAAUUCCUGGUUGUAGCACGUCGGCGUCAGUUGGUGCUCAUCAACAAGGUCAAGAAGCAGCUCGUCUCCCUCAUCAGCCUCGCCGGUGCCACCACGGUCGGCCUCUGCGGCAAGGACGCGCACCUCCUCACCACGCCCCUCUCCCCCAAUGCCACAGCCCUCGGGUUUGUCUGCGAGGUGACGUGCAUAGACUCAUCUGUGCUCCACCCAAUCAUCGCAUCCGGCCACAUCCCGGUGAUCGCCACCGUGGCCGCCGACGAGACCGGCCUGCAACAUCAACGCCAACAAUGUGACGGGGGAGAUCGCAGCUACCAUAUGCGCCGAGAAGAUGUUGCUGAUCACUGA